AAAAGAACAAGGCGCUGGAUUCCUACAGCCAAGGACAGAGAAGAAAGGAAAAAGAUGUGCUGCAUCUUUUUGGGAAGAGGGUCCUGGUCAUGAGCAGAAACCUGCUGAGGAGCUUCAUUUGGCUGCUGAGAUGUCUCUCCACCCAUGGCAGAGCCAAGGUCUCCAUGAAGGCAGAAGCUGGGCUCUAGUUAACUGAUGCUCCUACUCAUUUUCUCUUUCUGGCUUCAGCCAUCACAGCAGAGGAGCAGAACAUGCAGCACUUCUGAUUUUAGGGACCACAGUUUGACAGCUAUUUUGUGAUGCAAAAGCUGCUGUAGGUUAUCUUUCUUGUUCCCAGUGCGCUACGGAGGGGAUUAAUGAUACAGGAGAUGGACAGAAAGCUCAAAAAUAACGUGUGUAACCAAGCUACUGCCCAGUGCUAUUUUCUCCCCCUCUAGUGUAGCCUUUCUGACAAACCCUAUCCCUUCCUGUGCCACAGGCCAGCGGUGACAUGUUUGAACUUCUGCAGCCGUUUGAUGUAAAAUGUUUUAAAUUCUUUUCGGGAACACUAAAGGCUUUUGUCUCUUGACCGGUGCGGUGGGGAUGCCACGUCUGGCAAAGACUGAUCUCUGUCUGCUUUCCAGCUCUACCCUAUCACACCGGGCUGCCCAGCCAGCCGAGAGGUAGGAAUGGCUGUUAAUCAUUAAAUGGAGCCUUUUUUCCACCGGAAUGAAAGGAAACACAAUGCAGCGAUGCAAGUCCGAGCCCACCCUUCCCAAGGAAACGCUGCCCACUGAUUAAAACCCUGUCAUGCACUUCUAUUUAGAUAUUUAGAGAACUACAGUUUUACAGGAUGGCUGUAAAGUGAAUUGUUCAGCUGCAGCUAAAAGCAGGCAGCGAUGAACUGCCAGGUAAGCCAUGGGGGGGUAACGCAUCAGCAUGCUUCGACGGAAAGAAAUUACAGCCCCUAAAUCCUGACUGUCUUUAUUUAAGAUAUCAGGCUUAAAUAAAGGCUGAUAAAGGCUGCCUGGUUUCGCUAACAUCCCUUUAUUUUCCCUGUCUGUCCAUCUGUUCCUAAGCUGCAUUCAAUCUAUCCCUGCUUUCGGUGCUAUUGGUGGAAAAUAGAAGAGUUUCAGCAAUACUUGGCAGCUUGGAGCCACAUCCUUCACUCUAAACAGCAGCCCAGGCUGUUCUGCCAUCUCUGGCACAGCGUGGGGCUCCUGUGCUACCUUCUGAGCUGCUCAGCAGAAAACCAAGGCCAGUUUCCCCGUUUUACCAGGGUGGGAAAAACAUUCCCCAUUAAAAUCCCCACGGGGCUGCUGCCGUCUCCCCGCCUGGAGGUUUGCUGGUUAAACGUGCCAGCAGCAGAAGUGCUUUUCCCCCUGGUGUGCCAAGGACCCCGCGGGGUUGUGGAGGUGGAUGUGUGCUAUCCUGGGUGAGGGCAGGAAACGUGAUCUUUCUCUAAAGAAACAGCACAUCUUUUCUUCAUGAAACAGAACCACCCUGAGAGCGCCUGCUCCCGCGGCAAAGAUGGAGGUUACACCAGCAACACGUAAAAGUGCCUGAUGAUCUAAAUUUCCUGCACAUUAAGGACAACUGCCACUGUGGUUGUUUAAACAAAACAGUAAGACAGACGGGAAUGAAGCCUGGGUGAGAUUCUGAGCAGUUUCAACGGGGAGGGAAAAGGAAGAGCAGGUCAGAAAACAUCAAAACAACUUUUUAUGACAAACCUUUAAGGUAAUACUAUCUAAAACAAAAAGAAAAAAAAUAUUUUUUUUUUUAACAAGUAAACCAAGAUGUA